UCGACCCGAGUUCAAACUGAAAUGAUAUGAUUAUUUUGGUCAUGUUGAGAACUCAGAACCCUUUCUUAAUCUUUCCUGUUUUUGGAAUUGAGAAAUUGGGUUAAUUUUAUGAUGGUUCACUGAGAAUUUGUUAAUCCUUUUAAUGCAUAUGAGAUAUGGUUUCUGCUUUCUAAGAUCUAUUUCUGGUCUUUAGAAAUUGCUUGAUUUGGUAUUGUCAAAUGGAAUAUGAAUUUCCGUGUUGACUAUGUCAGUAUGUUGUUGUAGUUGUCUAAUUGGAUACGAUAUAAGUUGAGGUGUUGACAUGAAAUCGGACACAGGUGGUUUUCCUCGAUUUUGUGGGAUAAAGUUAUAGUUUGAUUUAGGCUAUAAAUGAUAACCAAAUUAAGUUCAAUGAGUUGUUACAAUCGGAGGCUGAUGGCAUUUUGAACUAUUUAGAUACAACUGAAGUGGAGAAAGAUAGCUCAAUGGCUUCCUAUGGUGCAAUGUACUUCAGAAUCCUUUAGUUCAGAAGCCAGCAGAAUCAAAUGACGAUCUUGGGCUAAGAAAGAAAUCAUUAUCUGAUAUUGGGAACCUACUGGAUUGUUUGCGUUUCAGAAGUGUGUUUUAAAGGUGAAUGCAGACGCUGCAAAACCCGGCUCAAAGAAUUGUAGAUGCUGAAGACAAAAAAGAAGCAGAGGAUGCAUUGCAAGCAGAAGGUUAAGAUAAAUUUUUCGUUAUGAAAGAGAACAUUGUCUUCAUUUGCCUAUGCUUAUUACUACAAAUUUAAUUUAUAUGCUUGAAACUUACGUUGUCAUAUCAUAGUUCAAUACGAAUAUAUUUGUGUUAUUGGAUAAGCAUCGGCCAACUGGAAGGCUAUUGACGUUUCUUAUAAAGAAAUCAGAGUCAUCUUCUCA